rnacentral:misc_RNA from 1 species
GAUGAAGAACGCAGCGAAGUGCGAUAAGUAAUGUGAAUUGCAGAAUUCCGUGAAUCAUCGAAUCUUUGAACGCAAAUUGCACUUUCUGGUAUUCCGGAGAGUAUGCCUGUUUGAGGGUCAGUGUAAUAAAUAAAUCGUGGUUGUUACCACCUUUCGUGGUGACGCUUCGGAAUUGAGUCGUCUUUACCCUUCGGGUUAAGUGACUUAAAAUUUUUUCAUACGAUUUCGAAACGUAUUUAAUGUAUUAUGUACGUUCACGAAUAUCGAAUGUUUUAUUAGGUGCGGUCAUUUUUCAUGAAUUCGCGUCUAUAAUUUUUUUUUUUUGACCUCAAAUCAGGUAAGAAUACCCGCUGAACUUAAGCAUAUCAAUAAGCGGAGGA